rnacentral:lncRNA from 1 species
CCCCGCCCCGCCACCCUCUCACUCCUCUCUCUCUCUCUCUCUCAAAUUGCACAAUCAAAUUGGGGGCACUAUGCACGCGGAAUCAACGACGACGACGAUAGACUCAGCACCUCUCUUCUCUUUUCCCUAAUCUCUCCUUUCUCAACAGUGGUGGCGCCACCCCUAGAAUAAAAUCUCCGGCACAACAGUGUUACUCUCAGAUUUGAAUUGUUUGAGCAGCGGCGUCAAUACCAGAAGAGAACCGUCGCGAGUAGCCCAUAGAAAAAGUGUACUGCCUACAUUUUUUGGAAGAGUGGCAAUCAGUGCGGUGAGUUUCUUGUCUAACUAUGUAUACUCUACUUCUUUUUAGCGAUUUUCAAUUUGAUACACACGAUUUUCAGUUUACAAAUUGUGAAAUAAGGAUUUGGAACCCGCUUACCAGACUCGAGUCGGUGUGGUGCAAGCGACGAUGAUGAAUUUUGUUGGUGGUAUGGUGCAGGCAACGAUUGUGGUUGUUUGGUUUCUAUGGGUGUCUGUUUUUGUGAGUUUUGAGUAGAUAUGGUGGUUGGGAUGUGUUUGGAUGGUGUUUUUUUGUGGUGGCGGUGGUGAUGGUGUUUGUGUGGUGGCGAUUUUGUGGUGGUGGUCGUGGUGACAGAUCUGGCUGUCGGGAUGGGUUUUAUUAAAUUUGGCGGUGGUUUGGGAGUGUUUUGGUAUUAUUAGGGGGUUUUAGUUGGUUUUUGUUGGUUGUGAAGGUAGAGGUACUUUCGACGAUGGUGGACUUGGUGACAAUUUUGUUGGUGGUACUGGUGGAGGAGUUGACGGUGGUGUGGUUGAUGGUGGUGGUGGUGGUGUGGUGCUUUGAGGGCGGUCGCAAGUGGCGUUGGUAGUGACAAUGACGACGAUGUUGGUAGCGGUGAACCAAUUAUUUGGUUAUAUUUGAUCAAGUAUUAAACCGUGACCUUCAAAUUUAAUAACUUGUGACUGAAAUAUAAUUUCUGACCAACAAUUUUAAAAAUCUAUGAUUGAUAAUAAACUAUGUCCUGUAAUAUUUUUUAUUUCUGACCAAUGAAAUAAAUUGCCC